GAGAGAGAGAGAGAGAGAGAGACCGCAAGUUUGAAUUGUGUUCAAUUUGUGCAUGUCAUUGCAUUCCUACACCUGUAAGACGAUAUUUAUGUGUUGACAUUGUGCUUUAAAAUCAUCUAGUUUCUCCGUCUAAGAAAUUUAUGGUUGAAAUGGUUAAUUCAAUUAUCAUUCCAUUUUGUUAAACUUCAGGAGUGAAAGUUUUAAUCAUGUUGCAGAAGUUCCAUGGAUUGUGAUCAUCCAAUAAACCACUGGCAUGCUUAGUAUAAUGCUUCCAUGGAAUGUGUCUGCAAUUGAUUUUGACUAUGGAACAUGAAGUAAUCCUAUUCUUGUCCGUCAUUUUCUUACCUCCUGUAGGCCAAAGGUCUGGGCUAUGCAAUGAAUGCCUCUGAUGAGCUUCAGUUUGUCCAGGAAGUUGCUACAGCUACUGG
rnacentral:misc_RNA from 1 species